GAAUCAGCUCAACUAACUGAGUGUUACAAUCAGAAACGAGUGGAAUUCACUGAUCACAAUCAUAUCUGCUCUGAUGAAUGGACUUCUGCUCAUUCUGCUGAUUGGACUAUUAAAAGUUUUUGUAUUUGGGAACAGAAGGUCUACAGAUCAAUCAAAACAACUCAACACUGAUCUACAACAGACACAAGUUGCAGAGCAGCAUCAGGAUCCACAACAAUUACAGUCCGCCGAGGUGGAACAAUCUUAACGUCUAUUCACAAACUAUUGGGUAGACCGAUAUAACCAGUAAAACAUUAACCCUUUAAAGAAAAGAAAGAAAAAGCUUAUUUCCAGCUUUUUUAUUAAACACUUUAUUUGAUUGAAUGUGAUAUAAUUUAUAAUAUUAUUGCUUAAUUCUGGGAAAAGGUGCAAAAGUUUGGAAAUCAUGUACCUAAUGAUAAU